UGUUAUGGCGGCUGUGCGCGGGAGAUCUUCGGAUCUGCCGGGUGUCUAGGUGACCGGUUCGCUAACCUGCGUACAGCUGCCACCCUU
rnacentral:antisense_RNA from 1 species